rnacentral:rRNA from 1 species
UACGUAGGGCGCAAGCGUUGUCCGGAAUUAUUGGGCGUAAAGAGCUCGUAGGCGGCUUGUCACGUCGGGUGUGAAAGCCCGGGGGCUCAACCCCCGGGAGGCGGGCGGAUACUGCCGGGCUAGAGUCCGGAAGAGGCGAGUGGAAUUCCUGGUGUAGCGGUGAAAUGCGCAGAUAUCAGGAGGAACACCAAUGGCGAAGGCAGCUCGCUGGGACGGUACUGACGCUGAGGCGCGAAGGCCAGGGGAGCAAAACGGG